rnacentral:rRNA from 1 species
GAGGUCAGCUUAUGGUCCGUGGUAUUUGCCAUGUGUACUAUUUUAGUCUGACCUCAUCCUUGUAGUGAAUAUAUCUGGCAUUUAGUUGUCGGGUAUAGGAGCUGCAUCGUUUACUGUGAAAAAAUUAGAGUGUUUAAAGCAGGCUUAUGCCGUGAAUACAUUAGCAUGGAAUGAUAUUAUAGGACUUUGGUACUAUUUUAUUGGUUUGCAUAUCAGAGUA